rnacentral:rRNA from 1 species
ACCAGACUCCUACGGGAGGCAGCAGUGGGGAAUAUUGCACAAUGGGGGGAACCCUGAUGCAGCGACGCCGCGUGGGUGAAGAAGUCAUUCGUGACGUAAAGCCCUAUCAGCAGGGAAGAAAAUGACGGUACCUGACUAAGAAGCCCCGGCUAACUACGUGCCAGCAGCCGCGGUAAUACGUAGGGGGCAAGCGUUAUCCGGAUUUACUGGGUGUAAAGGGAGCGCAGACGGCAAUGCAAGCCUGGAGUGAAAGGCGGGGGCCCAACCCCCGGACUGCUCUGGGAACUGUAUAGCUAGAGUGCAGGAGAGGCAAGUGGAAUUCCUAGUGUAGCGGUGAAAUGCGUAGAUAUUAGGAGGAACACCAGUGGCGAAGGCGGCUUGCUGGACUGUAACUGACGUUGAGGCUCGAAAGCGUGGGGAGCAAACAGGAUUAGAUACCCCCGUAU